rnacentral:rRNA from 1 species
UACGGAAGGCAGCAGUGGGGAAUAUUGCACAAUGGGCGCAAGCCUGAUGCAGCCAUGCCGCGUGUAUGAAAAAGGCCUUCGGGUUGUAAAGUACUUUCAGUCGUGAGGAAGGUGUUAAGGUUAAUAACCUUAGCAAUUGACGUUAGCGACAGAAGAAGCACCGGCUAACUCCGUGCCAGCAGCCGCGGUAAUACGGAGGGUGCGAGCGUUAAUCGGAAUUACUGGGCGUAAAGGGCACGCAGGCGGUUAAUUAAGUUGGAUGUGAAAUCCCCGGGCUUAACCUGGGAAUGGCAUUCAAGACUGGUUAGCUAGAGUCUUGUAGAGGGGGUAGAAUUCCAUGUGUAGCGGUGAAAUGCGUAGAGAUGUGGAGGAAUACCGGUGGCGAAGGCGGCCCCUGGACAAAGACUGACGCUCAUGUGCGAAAGCGUGGGGAGCAAACGAGGGAUUAGAUACCC